CACCAGCCCCUCGAGUGGUGGGGAUGAUUAUUUGGCCUAAAGCGUCCGUAGCCGGCCGGGUAAGUUUCCCGUUAAAUCCAGCGUCUCAAGCGUUGGACUGCGGGAAAUACUGCCUGGCUAGAGAGUGGGAGAGGUCAGCGGUAUUCUGGGGGUAGGGGCGAAAUCCUUUGAUCCCCGGAGGACCACCAGUGGCGAAGGCUGCUGACUAGAACACGUCUGCCGGUCAGGGACGAAAGCUGGGGUAGCGAACCGGAUUAGAUACCCGGGUAGUCCCAGCCGUAAACGAUGCAUGCUAGGUGUUGGGUUGGCCACGAGCCACCCCAGUGCCGCAGGGAAGCCGUUAAGCAUGCCGCCUGGGAAGUACGAUCGCAAGAUUGAAACUUAAAGGAAUUAGCGGGGGAGCACCACCAGGCGUGAAGCCUGCGGUUU
rnacentral:rRNA from 1 species